AACAUGGGUGGUUAAAACGUACACUUCUUUUCUUAUUUUUGUAAACCUAAGGCAACAUAUUAGGGUUUCACUCCAUAGCCGCUUCCUCACAUCCCUUCGCGGUUUCUUGUCUCUAUAUAUAGUAUCAGUCUAUUAGAGAGUUGUGAAAUUUGCAGGAAGUGGAAAGGGGAUGAGUGUUUCCGGGAGCUUUUGGAGUGGGUGGCAUGGCAAGAUGUCGUAUUUUAUGCUGCAUAAAAAUUGAAAUCUUGCCAAUUCCCCCCAUUCCGAUGGCUCCCGAUCAGCUCUCCCUUUCCUUUUUCUCCAGCGUAAUGUGUUUGGUCUACAACGUCAAACCUUUUCCUUUUAUAGAAUGCAGCAUCCUUGUAGUUUAUGUCAGACAGAUGUUAACCUUUUAUUUUAUUUUAUGAAAAGGGAGAAAUUCAUUUAAUGGUAGUACUAACCUGCUACUGUGAGAUUCCAUCCUUGGCUCAAACUUAAAACUGCUGUGCAGCUGUUGUUAAGAGUAAGGAGUUUAUUUAUGCGCUC